GCCUCAGGGAGCACAUGGAAUCUGAGCCGGCCCACCACUCCACCCAUUUCACAGAAACAUCCCUGGUGCUCCAGUGUGCCCAGCGCACCGUGGUGGAUGCAAAGAUACACCAGGCUCGAGGAAAGACUUCUCUGAGGCCAGGCACCUGUA